rnacentral:rRNA from 1 species
CAAUAGCGUAUAUUAAAGUUGUUGCGGUUAAAAAGCUCGUAGUUGGAUUUCUGCCGAGGACGACCGGUCCGCCCUCUGGGUGAGUAUCUGGCUCGGCCUGGGCAUCUUCUUGGAGAACGUAGCUGCACUUGACUGUGUGGUACGGUAUCCAGGACUUUUACUUUGAGGAAAUUAGAGUGUUUCAAGCAGGCUUACGCCUUGAAUACAUUAGCAUGGAAUAAUAAGAUAGGACCUCGGUUCUAUUUUGUUGGUUUCUAGAGCUGAGGUAAUGAUUAAUAGGGAUAGUUGGGGGCAUUCGUAUUUAACUGUCAGAGGUGAAAUUCUUGGAUUUACGCAAGACAAACAGCUGCGAAAGCGUCUGCCAAGGAUGUUUUCAUUA